AGUGAACGCUGGCGGUAGGCCUAACACAUGCAAGUCGAACGGCAGCACAGUAAGAGCUUGCUCUUACGGGUGGCGAGUGGCGGACGGGUGAGGAAUACAUCGGAAUCUACUUUUUCGUGGGGGAUAACGUAGGGAAACUUACGCUAAUACCGCAUACGACCUACGGGUGAAAGCAGGGGAUCUUCGGACCUUGCGCGAUUGAAUGAGCCGAUGUCGGAUUAGCUAGUUGGCGGGGUAAAGGCCCACCAAGGCGACGAUCCGUAGCUGGUCUGAGAGGAUGAUCAGCCACACUGGAACUGAGACACGGUCCAGACUCCUACGGGAGGCAGCAGUGGGCAAUAUUGGACAAUGGGCGCAAGCCUGAUCCAGCCAUACCGCGUGGGUGAAGAAGGCCUUCGGGUUGUAAAGCCCUUUUGUUGGGAAAGAAAAGCAGCAGGUUAAUACCCCGCUGUUCUGACGGUACCCAAAGAAUAAGCACCGGCUAACUUCGUG
rnacentral:rRNA from 1 species